UACGAAGGGACCUAGCGUAGUUCGGAAUUACUGGGCUUAAAGAGUUCGUAGGUGGUUGAAAAAGUUGGUGGUGAAAUCCCAGAGCUUAACUCUGGAACUGCCAUCAAAACUUUUCAGCUAGAGUAUGAUAGAGGAAAGCAGAAUUUCUAGUGUAGAGGUGAAAUUCGUAGAUAUUAGAAAGAAUACCAAUUGCGAAGGCAGCUUUCUGGAUCAUAACUGACACUGAGGAACGAAAGCAUGGGUAGCGAAGAGGAUUAGAUACCCUCGUAGUCCAUGCCGUAAACGAUGUGUGUUAGACGUUGGAAAUUUAUUUUCAGUGUCGCAGCGAAAGCGAUAAACACACCGCCUGGGGAGUACGACCGCAAGGUUAAAACUCAAAUGAAUUGACGGGGACCCGCACAAGUAGUGGAGCAUGUGGUUUAAUUCGAAGAUACGCGCAGAACCUUACCAACACUUGACAUGUUCGUCGCGACUCUAAGAGAUUAGAGUUUUCGGUUCGGCCGGACGAAACACAGGUGCUGCAUGGCUGUCGUCAGCUUGUGUCGUGAGAUGUUGGGUUAAGUCCCGCAACGAGCGCAACCCUCACUUUUAGUUGCCAUCAUUAAGUUGGGCACUCUGAAAGAACUGCCAGUGAUAAGCUGGAGGAAGGUGGGGAUGACGUCAAGUCCUCAUGGCCCUUACGUGUUGGGCUACACACGUGCUACAAUGGUAUCUACAACAGGAAGCAAGACGGCGACGUUAAGCAAAUCCUUAAAAGAUACCUCAGUUCGGAUUGCACUCUGCAACUCGAGUGCAUGAAGCUGGAAUUACUAGUAAUCGUGGAUCAGCGUGCCACGGUGAAUGCGUUCCCGGGUCU
rnacentral:rRNA from 1 species